AGAGUUUGAUCCUGGCUCAGGAUGAACGCUAGCGAUAGGCCUAACACAUGCAAGUCGAGGGGCAGCACAUGAAGUAGCAAUACGGAUGGUGGCGACCGGCGCGCGGGUGAGUAACGCGUAUGCAACCUGCCUACAACAGGGGAAUAACCCGUUGAAAGACGGACUAAUACCCCAUAACACAGGGAUCCCGCAUGGGAAUAUUUGUUAAAGAUUUAUCGGUUGUAGAUGGGCAUGCGUUCCAUUAGCUUGUUGGUGAGGUAACGGCUCACCAAGGCAACGAUGGAUAGGGGAACUGAGAGGUUUAUCCCCCACACUGGUACUGAGACACGGACCAGACUCCUACGGGAGGCAGCAGUGAGGAAUAUUGGUCAAUGGACGCAAGUCUGAACCAGCCACGUCGCGUGAAGGAAGACGGCCCUACGGGUUGUAAACCUCUUUUGUAAGGGAAUAAAGUGUAGUACGUGUACUAUUUUGCAUGUACCUUACGAAUAAGGAUCGGCUAACUCCGUGCCAGCAGCCGCGGUAAUACGGAGGAUCCGAGCGUUAUCCGGAUUUAUUGGGUUUAAAGGGUGCGCAGGCGGGAGAUUAAGUCGGCGGUGAAAUUUUGCAGCUCAACUGUAAAAGUGCCUUCGAAACUGGUUUCCUUGAGUGUGGAUGAAGUAGGCGGAAUUUGUGGUGUAGCGGUGAAAUGCAUAGAUAUCACGAGGAACUCCGAUUGCGCAGGCAGCUUACUAAACCAUAACUGACGCUCAGGCACGAAGGCGUGGGGAUCAAACAGGAUUAGAUACCCUGGUAGUC
rnacentral:rRNA from 1 species